GACGAACGCUGGCGGCGUGCUUAACACAUGCAAGUCGAACGGUGAAGGGGUCUGCUUUUGUGGGCCCUGGAUGAGUGGCGAACGGGUGAGUAACACGUGAGUAACCUGCCCCCUUCUUCUGGAUAACCGCAUGAAAGUGUGGCUAAUACGGGAUAUUCUGGGUCUGUCGCAUGAUGGGUCUGGGAAAGAUUGCGCCUUUGGGUGUUUUUGGUGGGGGAUGGGCUCGCGGCCUAUCCGCUUGUUGGUGGGGUGAUGGCCUACCAAGGCGGUGACGGGUAGCCGGCCUGAGAGGGGGGACGGUCACACUGGGACUGAGACACGGCCCAGACUCCUACGGGAGGCAGCAGUGGGGAAUAUUGCACAAUGGGCGCAAGCCUGAUGCAGCGACGCCGCGUGAGGGAUGGAGGCCUUCGGGUUGUAAACCUCUUUCGCCAGUGAAGCAGGCCUGCUCCUUGUGGGUGGGUUGACGGUAGCUGGAUAAGAAGCGCCGGCUAACUACGUG
rnacentral:rRNA from 1 species